UAAAAAGGAAAAUGAUUACCA
rnacentral:snRNA from 1 species